CAAUAGCGUAUAUUAAAGUUGUUGCGGUUAAAAGCUCGUAGUUGGAUUUCUGUUGAGAAAGUCCGGUCCGCACUUUGUGCGUGAUCUGGUUCUGUCUCGGCAUCCUCGUGGGGAACGUGCUGCGCUUGAUUGCGUGGUAUGGUAUUCACGACUUUUACUUUGAGGAAAUUAGAGUGUUCACGGCAGGCAAUCGCCUUGAAUACGUUAGCAUGGAAUAAUAAUAUAGGACCUUGGUUCUAUUUUGUUGGUUUCUAGAACUAAGGUAAUGAUUAAUAGGGAUAAUUGGGGGUAUUCGUAUUCCAUUGUCAGAGGUGAAAUUCUUGGAUUUUUGGAAGACGAACUACUGCGAAAGCAUUUACCAAGGAUGUUUUCAUUAAUCAAGAACGAAAGUUAGGGGAUCGAAGAUGAUCAGAUACCGU
rnacentral:rRNA from 1 species